GGCGUCAGUAGGAACAGUAACAAGCAGAGCACGCACUCCUGGGGAGACAGCGGAGGUCAGGGAGGCUCCAACCAGUUUCGAGGGUUCCUCCAGUGGUCCCUGUCCCACCCCAGGACCGAGUAACUCACCAUGGUCGGGAGAGACCAAAACAGGAAGAAUUCUUCAUGGCAGUCAGGCACUCCGUGCCAGGGGGAUGACUCAAGCGCCUCAGGCUUCUAUGGUACACAGAGGAAAGGAUGAACCACACCAGAACCUUAGGUGCGUAACCGGGAGUUUGUGGACGAGAUUACCAACUUCAUCUAUGGACUCCAGAGGGAGAAUAAAGCUCAAGGACCCAAGUUAAUAUGAAGAACAAGUCCCCCUUCUCCCCACCUACUCCUUUGUUUAAAAAUUCUCUCUUCCUCCCUUCAUCUCCCCUCUCCCUCUCUCUCUUUUGAGACAGGGUCUCUCACUCUAGCAGCCUAAUCUGGCCUGUAACUCAUUAUGUAGCUCACACUAGCCUUGAACUCC